CGUUUAUUGUCUUUUUCAAUUUGACGUCGUCUGGUUAAUAUUGUUAUGUUUUGUUACUGAUUUUUGCUUCAUCGUGUAGGAAUAAGCCACUUCUCUUUUGUAAAUCAAUAUUGUUAUGUCUUGUUUCUUGAUUUUUAUUACAUUACUGUUUAUCAAUCUCCUGUUACCGAUAAAUGGAAAGAAUGUUAUCGCCUCCCUGAAAAAUGCUCUGGGUUUCCUGUAGUGGCUGCUAAAAGUCAGUUUGAUUUUGGCAAACAUAAUGAAGGGACAAUCCAACAUCCUUGUAUCAGGGGCCUACUCACGAGAGUAGCUCAACUGAUUUCCUAACGAAGCCAAUAAAUAAAUCCAACUUUUAGUGUUCACAACCUAAGUGUUUAGCCUUGAAAUUGUACUUGUUAACCUUGUGAAACCAUAUUCAGCAAGGGGAUUGAGGGCUGUUAACUAUUUCUGACUUUCUUUCUAAUAAUAAUUUUAAAAAGCACCGAAAUUAUGAAAGAAAAUUUUAAGCCAAGGAAAUGGAGCUUAAGGAUGGAAAAAGGCGAAAUGAUUUGGCAGUGUGAGAUGGGUUUUCGUUUAUCCAUGAAAAAGAUAACAAUGGUGGUUAUGAAAGGAACUUGAAUGGAUCAAGGUAAUUCAAAGAAUUAUAAUAAUCAGUAAAGUGAUCAGAUGAUUCUUUUUUCUUUUGCAUCUUCAUACUUCACAUAUAAAAUCUUUAUGGAUAUUUGUGCUCCAAAUUGGAACCUUUAAGUUGAUAAGAAAGAAAAAAAUUUAAAGUUGAUAAAGAAAAGUUUGAUCAGUUUGAAGUCCAAGCUGAACUUGGAUGAGCUUGUAUUGAGAAAGGACAAAACCUCAGCUCGGAUGGUGACUACCCUGUUAAAUGUUUAUAGCUCCUGAAAAGAUCCAAUAGUUAUGUCUAUCUAUUUUUUUGCACUCAUCAAAUAUAUAUGUGUUAUACCCGAGCAUUAUUUGUCUUAAUUUCAAUUUUUUAUUCAUUUAUAUUUAUGUUUUCCACUGAUAUGAUUCUCCUGGAAGUUUGGCAUCGAUGUAUUGAUUUUUUGUUGAAGUACCUCUACAACCACAUCAUUUGCACAACCGUCCAGAAUUGUAUAAAGUGAUGAUAGUGAGGGUAGCUCCAUACGAGCACUCAGUCUAAAAACAGGAGGAUCAAGAUUGCUAGUUGGUGGUGAUCUUUUUUCUCAGACAAUUUGUUCAAGAUUUCGAAGAUGGCUUCUGGUACAAGAAGGACCCUAACUAGAUGUGCAAAGGUUGUUCAUAAGAAUCAGAGUGUUGAACUGACUCCUGAAAUUGCUGCAAACACUGCCAAUAUUGUGGCAAAGAACUGUUAUGUCAAUGACCAUAUGAACUGUUUAGGCAAACCAACUUGGGGAAUCUGUCGGUCCUAUACAAUUAUUUCAUGACACUCGUUGGAGCACUGAGAAAGGGUGGGAUGAUCAAGCAAGAGAGCUAUAUGUAAGUUGAUCAUCUUUCAAUUAUCGGUCCUGUAUAAUUAUUUCAUGACUUAUUGAUUAUGCAUUGAGUUGAUGGUAGGAAAAAAUGAUAGAGCUACAAGAUGAAACACAAGCAGGGGAAAGUGAAAAAACAGAAGCAGAAAUAUGUGAGGAAGUUCUGGGUAAAGCUUCCGGAUUUAAUCAAAAUUUUGCAUUUUCACACACUGAGCAUCAUGAUACUACAGCAGAAGCAGAGUUAAGGUGCAUAGUACAACAACAAGAAAAUAAAAUUAAACAGUUGGAGGAGCAGCUCAUCUUAGUUGAUCAACAAAACAGAAAAUAAAACCCUUGAACAACAACAAUUUGUCCUGUUGGAGAUGAUGAAGCAGUUAACUAUAGCCCUUGAACUACAACAAUCUGAUAAGCUCCAACUCAACAGCCAUCGCCAUCUCCAACUGCUGAAGACUCAUCCUCAUCAGCUACAGCUAUUUCAAAAACCUCAACUGGUGACACUUGAGAUGCUCUAGAUAUUGAUGGUUAGUUUUUUGUUGUAUGGGCGGUAUAUAUUUUGACAUGGGGGUAGGACCAUCUUUUUAGGAUUGUUUGCAUAUAUUUGUUAGAUGGUGUACAUGGGGUGGACAUUUUUUUGUUAGUUAUGCACAUAUAGAUAGCUAUUGAUGAAAAUGUGGGUGCAUACUUUUUUUUGGGUUAUGCACACUUGAUUGUGCAUUCUGGAUUUUUAUUGCUCCUAAUGCAUAAAAAUACAUGUAUGGACUAUAUAUAUAAAUAUAUAUAUGUAUGAAAAUAAGAUAUUUGAUGUUAGUGUUCAUAUUUUUA